UACGGAGGGUGCAAGCGUUAUCCGGAUUCACUGGGUUUAAAGGGUGCGUAGGUGGGUUGGUAAGUCAGUGGUGAAAUACUUUCGCUUAACGAAGGAACUGCCAUUGAUACUAUCAAUCUUGAAUACAGUGGAGGCAGGCGGAAUGCGUCAUGUAGCGGUGAAAUGCUUAGAUAUGACGCAGAACACCAAUUGCGAAGGCAGCUUGCUACACUGUUAUUGACACUGAGGCACGAAAGCGUGGGGAUCAAACAGG
rnacentral:rRNA from 1 species